rnacentral:tRNA from 1 species
UAGAAAAGUAGGAAUUGAACCUACAACUAA